AGCACUUUACAAUCCUCUUCCCUGACCCUAAAACCGCGCGCGGUCCCUCAGGAUAUCUCCCUUGCUCAGGCCUGCGUUGCGCGUUUAGUGUGGGCGAGGAUAUUUUCCUGAAUCCACUGAUGUUCAUCAAAGGUCUCAUCUGUGUCGGGAGGGAACCAGCCCAGGCAGGCCCAACUUCACUUGCUGGAUCAGUAAAUGCCCUGGCGGCAUACCGUGCUGGACAUUGGGGCUUGCAUGGGCCUGCAGGCAGUGGGUCAGAGUAGAAAACCCUCGGGAGGUCAGAAAGUGACCUCAGGCCUUAAAGAAAGCUGCUGCAGCUCCAGGCAUCACAUCUUCCCACUAAUGACCCAAGCAGAAAGGAAGGGAGCAACGAGGACUUUCUUCUGUUGACGCUCCAUCCCCAGAAUGACUGGACACCUCCCCCAAUCAACGGAACCCCAGAAGUUUUUUGGACCACUCAGAGCUGGGGGAGGAAUGGGGCAAGACUGGGAAGAGUCCUAGCCCUCAAUUCUGACCUCAAAGACCUCGUUCCAACGGGGAUUGAGAUCUUCCUGAACAACACGGCUCCGGAAGCUUCGUCCUCCCAGCUUUAGUUUGACAUAGGGGUCUGACUUCCCCUUCACUAAUCCCCCCAAGAAACGGUCUUUGGCAAUCAGGUCCUGGGCCUCUAAUACAUGGAUCCGAAGCACAUUCUGCAAAAGGAACAGGGUUUUUGUUUAUUUUUUGGCUGUGCCUCAUAGCAUAUGGGAUCUUAGUUCCCCGACCAGGGAUUGAACCUGUGCCCCAUGCAGUGGGAGCGCAGUCUCAACCACUGGACCACCAGGGAAGUCUCCUUCUCUUCUUUUAAAAAAUAAUUUUUUUGAGGCAUAAUUUACAUACCACAAAAAUCACUCAUUUUAAGUGCACAAUUCUUAGUUAUAAAAAUGAUUCUAGAGAGACAGGUGGGGAACCGUGGAGAGUAGAAGAGGUGGAGAGUCUAGGUAGAUGGAUUGAAAAUAGAGAUCAUGGAAUUCCCUGGUGGUCCAGUGGUUAGGACUCCGUGAUCUCACUGCCGAGGGCCUGGAUUCCAUCCCUGAUCAGGGAACUAAGAUCCCGAAAGCCACACGGCACAGCCGAAAAAAAAACAAGAAAAGAAAAUAGAGAUCAAAGGAGAAGAUGGAGAGAAGAAAUGGUGCAGAUCUGAGAAGACAGAAUAGGGUAUCCAGGAGGGAUUCUCUCACCUGCACAUCGAGCUCCUGGCUUCGAGGGUCUUGCAGGAAGAACCGGAAGGCCUCCUCCCACACCGGGCCAUUGGUGUUAUAGACAGCCUAGAGAUGUGCAGGAUGUGAUCAAGUGAAGGAAGGCGGGCUGUCAUCAGAAUCCUUCCCCUGGGGCUUCCCUGGCGGCGCAGUGGUUAAGAAUCCGCCUGCCCGGCACUUCCCUGGUGGCGCAGUGGUUAAGAAUCUGCCUGCCAAUGCAGGGGACACAGGUUCGAGCCCUGGGGCGGGAAGAUCCCACAUGCUGCAGAGCAACUAAGCCCGUGCACCGCAACUACUGAGCUUGCGCUCUAGAGCCCAUGAGCCACAACUACUGAAACUGUGCACCUAGAGCCUGUGCUCCACAACAAGAGAAGCCACCACAAUGAGAAGCCCGUGCAGCGCAACGAAGAGUAGCCCCCACUCGUCACAACUAGACAAAGCUUGCGCACAGCAACAAAGACCCAAUGCAGCCAAAAAUAAAUAAAUUAAAUAAAGAUUAUAAGAGAAUAUUAUGAACAACUUUAUACAAAGUUAGAAAACAUCGAUUAAAUAGAUAAUUUAAAAAUACAA